GCCUGUUUGGCUUAGUGGUGGAGCUUCGCUCUUGUAAAGCGAAAGUCAGUGGUUUAAUACCAUCAAUAGGCA
rnacentral:tRNA from 1 species